GGCUCAGGACGAACGCUGGCGGCGUGCCUAACACAUGCAAGUCGAACGGAACUAAUUGACCGAUUCCUUCGGGAUGAAGAAUUUUAGUUAGUGGCGGACGGGUGAGUAACGCGUGAGUAACCUGCCUCUGAGAGGGGAAUAACGUUCUGAAAAGAACGCUAAUACCGCAUAACACAUAUAUGCCGCAUGACAGAUAUGUCAAAGAUUUUUAUCGCUCGGAGAUGGACUCGCGUCCGAUUAGUUAGUUGGUGAGGUAACGGCUCACCCAAGACCGCGAUCGGUAGCCGGACUGAGAGGUUGAACGGCCACAUUGGGACUGAGACACGGCCCAGACUCCUACGGGAGGCAGCAGUGGGGGAUAUUGCGCAAUGGGGGCAACCCUGACGCAGCAACGCCGCGUGAAGGAUGAAGGUUUUCGGAUUGUAAACUUCUUUUAUCAGGGACGAACUCUGACGGUACCUGAUGAAUAAGCUCCGGCUAACUACGUGCCAGCCGCCGC
rnacentral:rRNA from 1 species